UACGGGGGGGGCGAGCGUUGUUCGGAAUUACUGGGCGUAAAGCGUGCGCAGGCGGUUUUGUAAGACAGAUGUGAAAUGCCCGGGCUUAACCUGGGAACUGCAUUUGUGACUGCAAGGCUAGAGUGUGUCAGAGGGGGGUAGAAUUCCACGUGUAGCAGUGAAAUGCGUAGAUAUGUGGAGGAAUACCGAUGGCGAAGGCAGCCCCCUGGGAUAACACUGACGCUCAUGCACGAAAGCGUGGGGAGCAAACAGG
rnacentral:rRNA from 1 species